AUCCAGCUGACCAGUCUCAAAUAGAAUGGAAUGCGCGUCCUGGAU
rfam:Schistosoma margrebowiei strain Zambia genome assembly, scaffold: SMRZ_scaffold0001689